AACGAACGCUGGCGGCAUGCCUAACACAUGCAAGUCGAACGAGACCUUCGGGUCUAGUGGCGCACGGGUGCGUAACGCGUGGGAACCUGCCCUUAGGUUCGGAAUAACUCCCCGAAAGGGGUGCUAAUACCGGAUAAUGUCUUCGGACCAAAGAUUUAUCGCCUUUGGAUGGGCCCGCGUUGGAUUAGCUAGUUGGUAGGGUAAAAGCCUACCAAGGCGACGAUCCAUAGCUGGUCUGAGAGGAUGAUCAGCCACACUGGGACUGAGACACGGCCCAGACUCCUACGGGAGGCAGCAGUGGGGAAUAUUGUACAAUGGGCGAAAGCCUGAUCCAGCAAUGCCGCGUGAGUGAUGAAGGCCUUAGGGUUGUUAAGCUCUUUUACCCGGGAUGAUAAUGACAGUACCGGGAGAAUAAGCUCCGGCUAACUCCGUG
rnacentral:rRNA from 1 species